rnacentral:rRNA from 1 species
CCUACGGGAGGCAGCAGUAGGGAAUAUUCCGCAAUGGGCGAAACCCUGACGGAGCAACGCCGCGUGGUUGAUGAAGGUUUUCGGAUUGUAAACUCCUUUUGUUAGAGAAGAUCAUGACGGUGACUAACUAAUCAUCACCUGCUAACUACGUGCCAGCAGCCGCGGUAAUACGGAGGGGGCAAGAGUUACUCGGAAUCACUGUGCGUAAAGAGCGCGUAGGCGGGAUAGCAAGUCAGAUGUGAAAGCCUAUGGCUGAACCAUAGAGGGGCAUUUGAAACUGUGCUUCUUGAGUACGGUAGAGGUAGGUGGAAUUCUAGGUGUAGGGGUAAAAUGCGUAGAGAUAAAGAGGAAUACUCGUGGCGAAGGCGACCUGCUAGAACGUAACUGACGCUGAGGCGCGAAAGCGUGGGGAGCAAACAGGAUUAGAUACCCGAGUAGUC